GGUAGAGUAGGUGUCUCGCGUUAAGUGCCAAGGGAUGGGACGUUGCCCUUGGACGAAAGCUAUUAAGAGCUGCGUUGGGACAUCGCGUUCGCUAUC
rnacentral:ncRNA from 2 species